CCUACGGGAGGCAGCAGUGAGGAAUAUUGGUCAAUGGGCUUACGCCUGAACCAGCCAAGCCGCGUGAAGGACGAAGGUGCCAAGCAUUGUAAACUUCUUUUGUCAAGGGACAAAAUCAGGCUCGAGAGCCUGACCGAGGGUACCUGAAGAAAAAGCAUCGGCUAACUCCGUGCCAGCAGCCGCGGUAAUACGGAGGAUGCGAGCGUUAUCCGGAUUUAUUGGGUUUAAAGGGUGCGCAGGCGGAAUGUCAAGUCAGCGGUAAAAUUUCGGGGCUCAACCCCGUCGUGCCGUUGAAACUGGCGUUCUUGAGUGAGCGAGAAGUAUGCGGAAUGCGUGGUGUAGCGGUGAAAUGCAUAGAUAUCACGCAGAACUCCGAUUGCGAAGGCAGCAUACCGGCGCUCAACUGACGCUCAUGCACGAAAGCGUGGGUAUCGAACAGGAUUAGAUACCCCAGUAGUC
rnacentral:rRNA from 1 species